GUUUCCGUGUUGCUUAAAAGCUAUGUUUAAAGUAGCAAUGUAGCUGUUAUGUUCGCAAUAUAUAUAUGUAUCAUUUAUAACAUAUGGGUUUAGUUAAACAUAAAUUGUAUCGUUUUAUCGCAUGUGCUGUAAUUAUCGCAUCUUUGAUCGUUUGCUACCUCAAAUUUCAGUCAAACUCAGAAGGAUCAAUGAGUGAACAAACACUAGAAUAUUUCCUCAACAAAGGAACGAUAAGGAGAAAAGAUGCUGCUGAUAUUGAGUGGUAUCAUGCAGCAAACAGCAAAGGCAAACUCAUGGAGGCUCUUCGAGGUUCUGCACAGAUGAUUGAAGCAGAUGUUCUUCUCAGGGGUGCAGAUCCAGAAGAGCCCAUCAUGGCUCACCCGCCUGACAAGGACAGCGAUAUAACUCUGCAGGACUGGCUUAAAGAAGUCGUCGAGUCAGACAAAGGAAUAAAACUGGACUUCAAAAGUCUGGCAGCUGUAUCCCAAUCCAUGACUCUGCUGGAAGAGGUCCGAGAUCAGCUGAAGGGUCCCGUGUGGAUUAAUGCUGAUAUUCUUCCUGGUCCUGGUGGAAAAGCCACCCCUGUGGACUCUCAUGUUUUCCUGCAGGAAGUAGCUCAAAGAUCAGAGAAUGAUGUUCUGUCCUUGGGUUGGACCACUGGAUGGACUGCAGAUGUAGACAAUCCUGGUUACAGCUGGGAGAUGGUUCAGCAGAUGGAAGAGUUAUGCAGAUCCCUAAAGCAACCAGUCACAUUUCCAGUCCGAGCAGCUCUCCUUCCAAUGUCCUUCCCACAGUUCCAGUGGCUUUUAGAGCAGUCAGAACGGUCAGAAAUUCUCCAUUAAUAAGCCUAUUUAAAUGUACGUCCAUAUUUACCGCUACAGAGACUAUUAAGCCGUGCAUCUGUGUGAAGGAGUCUUUCUAUUACCUCAGUGAUUGAUUUAUGUUAUACAAGCAAGGACACAAUCAAGUUCACCCUAAUGCUUAGUAAUUUCUUGCUGGAUAAUUUGGUUCUGGCUCAUCUAUUACACUUGUUUGUGACUGGAAUAGCAACUCUUCUCCUUAUCUGAAGGACAGUGUUGGGGUAUUACCAGAUGUGAGGGCCUCUAGUUUUAACCAGUAGUCUUCUGUUUUUUAGGUUCAUGGUUUCCAUCACCCAGAACAAAGAAAGAACUAAGAAAUCUUUCAAUUUAAAAUGUUGGUUGUGUUUUUGAUUAUAUCAGUGGUCCCCAACCUUUUUGUAGAUUGCAAGGUGACCAUCAACCUGACAAAACAUUGUUGCAACUCUGAUACAAGUUUUAUCUAUGGAGAAAAAGCACUGCAGUGCUAACGUUACUGAAAUGUGUAUAUUCCACACAAGAUAAAUGCUUUUCAAAACAAAUGAUCGUUCGGACUCCGAUAACAAAUAAAACGGAAAUAAUUAAUGAAUUAAUGAUAGCACACUCUCAUUUGAAGGUCACAUCAAUAAUAUUGCGCAUACUGCAUAUUUCCAUCUGUGUAAUAUCACUCAUCUCCACCCUUCUCUCACAUCCAAUAACACAGCAAUUCUCAUCCAUGCAUUAGUUACUUCAUGUCUUGACUACUGUAAUAAACUCAUCACUGGGCUUCCUUCUAAACUUCUCUAUAAACUCCAACUGGUUCAGAACCAUUCAGCUCGUGUCAUCUCUAGGACUUUAACUCAAGAGCAUGUCACACCACUUCUUUAUCAGCUUCACUGGCUUCCGGUAAAGUUUCGUAUUGAUUUUAAAAUACUACUUCUCACUUUCAUCAUGUGUUUGUACCUGCAACUCCUUACAUGAAUUGAAAAUUUAGUUUGGCAAUGUUUUAUUAAUUGUUUUAAUUGGUUCUGUUAAGGCUGUUUGAUGCUUGUUGUAAAGCAACCUUGGGUGUCCAGUAUGGUUGGGCAAUGUUGACCAAUUUGGCAUCGUACGAUGUCUAAUGUGAAACAUCGCGAUGGACGAUGGCAUCCUCGUCAUAGGCAAAGGUACAGCUUGACUGUAUGGACAGGCAAGGAUGAUGCUCUUAACGUGAACGAUCUGAUGCCCUACAGAAAAAACUUUGGCAAGACCAAG